rnacentral:rRNA from 1 species
AGUGAACGCUGGCGGCAGGCCUAACACAUGCAAGUCGAACGGUAACACGAUAAAACUUUCUUCUUUCCUGACGCGUGUCGCGCGCGUGCGUGAUGUCCGUGGAACUCCCCGUUUUCGUGGGGUAUCUCCUGGAGACGCUUGCUCUUACCGCAUAUCCUCCCUACACCUAAGAGCAGGACCUUUUGGCCUCUUGCCCUCUUGUGUGCCCAGAUGGGGUUAUCUAGAGGGUGGGGUAAAGGCUCACCUAGGCGACGAUCCCUAGCUGGUCUGAGAGGAUGAACAGCCACACUGGAACUGAGACACGGUCCAGACUCCUACGGGAGGCAGCAGUGGGGAAUAUUGGACAAUGGGCGCAAGCCUGAUGCAGCCAUACCGCGUGUAUGAAGAAGGCCUUCGGGUUGUAAAGUACUUUUGGCGGGGAGGAAGAGAGGAAGGUUAAUACCUCGGCGUAUUGACGGUACCCGAAGAAGAAGCACCGGCUAACUCCGUG